CAGCCAUUGGUCAGUGCCUCAGUGGGUCCCACCCACAAGCAAGCAACUGUCAGUGAGGUCAGAGGGAGUGGUGGGCCUCAGGCGGUGUUUGAGCUGAUAUUUACUGAACAAGGACGUUUUCUGACUCAGCAGGGAUUUGCUUUUAUACAGCUUCUGAUACAAAGAGAACAAUUCGUUUCUAUCUUGUUGGGACUUUCUUUACCAACAGAGAGGUAUGAUUUUCCCAGACCAGUAACUUCUCAAUGUUAGGUAUCCACAUGCCACCUCCUUGGUUUAUGCAGAAUGGCUAACUUUGAUCCUCCUAAGAUGCCACUGCCUGUCUGAAGAGUCUACUAGUUUCAGUCUAUGUCCUUAAA
ensembl:lncRNA